UGUUGUUGCAGGUUUGCGACUGACCACAUUUAUAGUGAUCCAAUAGUUUCUUGAAGGGUCUUGAUUGGCUUUGACUAACACAGAGUACGUCUCACCAGAAUAGAUGUAGAGGUUUCGUACCACAAAUGGUUCCACAUAGCUUCCAUCUGCUUCUACAACAGUCAUAUCAUGGCCCUCAAUUUCAAAACUAAGAGCAGAUAGGGCAGUUAAAC
rnacentral:misc_RNA from 1 species